AAUAGAUACCCUGGUAGUCCUAGCCGUAAACGAUACUCGCUAGGUGUCGGCCACGGUGCGACCGUUGUCGGUGCCGUAGGGAAGCCGUGAAGCGAGCCACCUGGGAAGUACGGCCGCAAGGCUGAAACUUAAAGGAAUUGGCGGGGGAGCACCACAACGGGUGGAGCUUGCGGUUUAAUUGGAUUCAACGCCGGAAAUCUUACCGGGACCGACAGCAAUAUGAAGGCCAGGCUGAAGACUUUGCCGGAUUAGCUGAGAGGUGGUGCAUGGCCGUCGUCAGUUCGUACUGUGAAGCAUCCUGUUAAGUCAGGCAACGAGCGAGACCCACGCCCACAGUUGCCAGCGUACUCUCCGGAGUGACGGGUACACUGUGGGGACCGCCGCUGCUAAAGCGGAGGAAGGAAUGGGCAACGGUAGGUCAGUAUGCCCCGAAUAUCCCGGGCUACACGCGAGCUACAAUGGUUGGUACAAUGGGUAUCUACCCCGAAAGGGGAUGGAAAUCUCCUAAAGCCAAUCUUAGUUCGGAUUGAGGGCUGCAACUCGCCCUCA
rnacentral:rRNA from 1 species